rnacentral:lncRNA from 1 species
GAGAAUUGAAGUAUCAGGAAUAAAUUGCACAUUUUUGAUCUGCAAAAAAGUCUCUAAUAUGCUAUUUUCAAUCCCUUGAUUCUGUUUAGUAUCAUUUACAUUCGGUUUCUGUCCAUCUCUAAUGAGCUUAAACAGUGUGCACUCAGAGCCCAGGAGGGUCACUCAUUGAAGUCAGUGUCCAAGUCAUCCAAUAUUGCCUCUCCAGUGCUGUCAAUGUGUUAAUGUAUCUGAAUGUGCUGUACAUGGAUAAGCUAUCUUUUUACAGUAAACGAGGAUAUUAAUAGAGAUGCUAUAAACAUGAUAUUUAUCUGAUAGUACAUAACUUGUUUUGAUUCUACUGACAAGGAGAAAUGGAGAAGUCCACUAUCUUGUGAAGGAAGAAAUAUGGGGGCAUAUUCCUAAUGGAAGAGUGACAAAGGAUUAUUCUGAAAAGCGCAGGUUUUCAAGCAUAUUUAGUCUUAAAAAAGUGAAGUCAUGGAAUAACAAAAAAUUAGGGUGACGGGAUAAGGAUAAUCAAAACUCUCUGUCCCUAGGUUCCAUUCGGAGCUGGAAAAAUGGGGCCACUGCUUACAUGGUGAUGUCCUCAGUGGGUGCAAAGAAAAUAUAGACAUGGUCAACUCUUGUCCCACAUCUGUGCUCUGUGUGAAGGGCUCUGGAGUCAGCUUAUGCACAUUACAGUGGCAGCCAUGAUACGGAUGGAUUUCAGGGAGGUGUAUAUGAGUCCUCUCCAGAAAUACCCAUAAACAAAGAGGGAAAUGAGUGUGGAUUUGUUGCUGUUAGGAGACUGAGUUACUGCAUCAUGAAUUGUUGGAUGUGUAAGACAAUCUUUGCUUGGAGGAUGCUGGACAUAAUGAGGACUUUAUAAAUGAAGAAACCCAGCUUUAGCCUCAAAUCUGUCUUCCUUUCCAACCAGGAGGUAAUAUUUGUUCAAAAUACCUUAUAUAUGUUUAGGUCAGUCAGGAUCUAACUCAUAUGCUUGGUGUAUGGGUCUUUCAAUGAGUAUCUGUUGACUAAAUGAAGUUAGGGCAGAACUACCUAUGUGGAUAGUGGAAGCUCUGUCUCAGGUCCAAACAAUAAUAACAUUGCUUUCUAAUUGGAGAGGCCACAAAGGAAAAGUGCUAUCAUUUUGACAAAACAAAAAGGAAAUUUUUCUCUACAGUGACAACUAGAGGAAAACAAAUGCAAAGCCUUUAAAAAAUUGGAAGAAAUUAUUUUGUGCAAAUAAAAUAUUUUAAACAUUGAUGGUCUUAAUAUUU